rnacentral:other from 1 species
UGGGGCCUGCUGGAUUCGACAGGUUAAUUUAUUCUUAAGACCGAUAAUCUUCUCAAAAGGGAUCUAUCACUGAUUUUGGCCGUGGCUAGGUUAUAUGGGUUCCGCCUUUAACAUAAGGGUCUUUGAGGUAUUUAAUACCAUCGUACUUGUGUGGGUCCUUU